rfam:Xenopus tropicalis strain Nigerian scaffold_1360_contig_12, whole genome shotgun sequence.
GCCAACGGCCAUACCACCCUGAAAGUGCCUGAUCUCGUCUGAUCUCGGAAGCUAAGCAGGGGAGGGCCUGGUUAGUACCUGGAUGGGAGACCGCCUUGGAAUGCCAGUAAUGUAGGCU